GUUACUAACCUUCUUCUUCUUCUUCUUCUUCUCUCUAACCCUAAUCCCAACCAGUUUCAAAUUAGCUUCCGGGUCCUCCUCCAUUUCACAAGGUCAAUUCAUCUUAACCCAAUUCUUUUUCUUUACUCUUUGUAUUCUUGCAGUUAGGGUUUCAAAUAGGCAACUUCACUGAUUCCGUUUAAGAUUUUCCAUUAUCAAAAUUUCAUGGGAAGCAACCAUGAUUCCAGUGACGGGCUUUUCAAAAUCCGUCCCCGUCUGGCGGAUGUCACGAAUUGCCCGUCGAAAAGGCCGUUUUCUUUAGUUUCCAGCGAUGGUGGGGACUCGCAGUUCACAAAGCAAAUGCGCUUAGGUGGAGAAAGUUUAGCCAAAAAGAAAAUCCAAAUGCAAUUAGGAGCACAGGCUCACCAUAGCAACGAGGUCUUAUUGCAACCAAAAGAAAACCAACCCAUUUUGUUUCCGUUUUGCGAUGAUAUUUCAAGCUCGUACCAUAAACCGUGCUCGCCCAGUGAGGGAUCGCGGGAGCAGAAUCUGUUGGGUUUGAAGAAGUAUGAAUUUGGGGAGAAGGAUGAAGGAAUUGCCCCAAUCGAUUGUGCUGUUGAAAGCGGGGACAAGGAUAUUUGUGUUGUUGACAAUUCCGGAUCUCCCAGGUGCGGGGCCGUGCAAAUGCCGUCAAUCUCUGCCUCUAAUGAUUCUAAUUUUCGGGGGUUGAAACCGUGCUCGGGGCAUAAGGGCGAUGGAGCAUCGAAUCCUGUUACUGAUGCUGCGGACAUUAAAUCUUGCACUUGUUCCUUAUGCUCUAAAGCUGCUUAUAUCUGGUCGGAUCUCCAUUACCAGGAUGCCAAGGGUAGAUUAAGUGCUAUAAGGAAGAGUCAGAAAGAAGCAAAACUGGUCAUUCAGAAAUUUUCUGGAUUAGAGGAUACAGUAAUGCAUGGCCAGCACCAAAGUGAGGAGUCAUUAAACUUAGAAUUGUCCCUUGUGCAUCAGUGGAAGUCGCUCUUUGUUCAAAUGCAGAAUAUGUAUGCCCAAGAAAGUAGCCACCUAAGGAGCAGCGCAUCGCGAUAGAGUUUGUGUUUCUCAAAGGAGCACCACAUCACACCGCAUUGUGUUUCUAAACAUUGUCACUGCCUUGACGGGAUUUUGCCACUACACUGCAUAAUGUUUCACCUUCCUUCCACAGCUGCAUCACGUUUUUUCUUUGGGGGCGUCAACUGGAUUUGCUCUUUGAACAGGAAUCAAGCUUUGAAUCACUAAAAGAUUUGAGAGAACGCUGCAAGACUGAUCUUGAUUCGAAUGACAACAGCCAUAGUGAAAAACAGUAGUAUUCCAAUCCGUUUUUUCAUUGUAAGAUUGCUUGGCACAUAAGUUUCUUGGCUUCAAAUUUCAAUUAAUAUGCAGAUUGUCAUCUGUUGCUUUAAUAUUUGUAUAUUUUAUGUAAACUCGGUGGCUAUAAUACUUGCAAGUCUACAUGUACAUUUGUCACGUCAGCUGUUUCCACCGAUUCCAUUAUGAUUUUAAUCAACAUGCUUUUGAGGACAAUUGUACCGCAUUUUUGGGAUGUCCUGAGAGGACUGAAAUUUGGCA